CAUGUCCCUCCGUGAGGAUUAAUGUGUGGACCUAAUACUGCACACCUGGCAGAGACUGAUAGGAAAUGUGCGGUCCAGAGACCUCCCCAAGGAGGCACGGCCAGUGUGGGCAGUUGAGGCAGGGCUGGAAAUCAGAGCCCUCAGUUCCUUGACUUCAUUCAUCACCUCGCAUUGUGUGAUCCGGGGAGUUUCAAACAAUAGAAACCUAUUUUUUCCCAGUUCUAGAGGCUAGACAUCUCAGACCAGCUUAGGACACUCGCUACUUCUCCCAUGACAACAAAGCUCCCCAUGGCUCUUCCCAUCUGCAGUUCUCAAAGUCUUCGUAAUCGGUCAACCAACCCACCCGUCCAUCUAGACAUCCAUCCACCCAUCAGGAAGUAUGCAACCCAUGAAGCAGCCUUGGCAAGUACCACCCCCGAGGACAGAGGCUAGAAUAAAAUCAAGAGCUGCCACCAGUUUCAGAUUUCCUGACCAGCUAAAGACCAGUGGGAUGUGUGGUGUAUUUUCCAAAGUAAGUAAGGGGAGGCCUCUGCUCCCUGGUCCCCCAAGACAGCUCUGUGUUUGGAGAUUGACUCUCUGAGGGGUUCCAAAGCACCUCUCAAUGGGCACGGCAGGAUGC